AAUAUUGGACAAUGGGCGAAAGCCUGAUCCAGUCAUGCCGCGGGUGUGAAGAAGGUCUUCGGAUUGUAAAGCACUUUAUGUUGGGAGGAAGGGGUUGAAGCUAAUACCUUCAAUUUUUGACGUUACCAACAGAAUAAGCCCCGGCUAACUCUGUGCCAGCAUCCGCGGUAAUACAGAGGGUGCAAGCGUUAAUCGGAAUUACUGGGCGUAAAGCGCGCGUCGGUUGUUCAGUAAGAUGCAAGUAAAAUCCCCGGGCUUAACCUGGGAACUGCUUUCAUAACUGCUGAGCUAGAGUACGGUAGAGGGUAGUGGAAUUUCCUGUAUAGCGGUGAAAUGCGUAGGUAUAGGAAGGAACACCAGUGGCGAAGGCGACUACCUGGACUGAUACUGACACUGAGGUGCGAAAGCGUGGGGAGCAAACAGG
rnacentral:rRNA from 1 species